rnacentral:rRNA from 1 species
GAUGAACGCUGGCGGCGUGCCUAAUACAUGCAAGUCGAGCGAACAGACGAGGAGCUUGCUCCUCUGACGUUAGCGGCGGACGGGUGAGUAACACGUGGAUAACCUACCUAUAAGACUGGGAUGACUUCGGGAAACCGGAGCUAAUACCGGAUAAUAUAUUGAACCGCAUGGUUCAAUAGUGAAAGACGGUUUUGCUGUCACUUAUAGAUGGAUCCGCGCCGCAUUAGCUAGUUGGUAAGGUAACGGCUUACCAAGGCGACGAUGCGUAGCCGACCUGAGAGGGUGAUCGGCCACACUGGAACUGAGACACGGUCCAGACUCCUACGGGAGGCAGCAGUAGGGAAUCUUCCGCAAUGGGCGAAAGCCUGACGGAGCAACGCCGCGUGAGUGAUGAAGGUCUUCGGAUCGUAAAACUCUGUUAUUGGGGAAGAACAAAUGUGUAAGUAACUAUGCACGUCUUGACGGUACCUAAUCAGAAAGCCACGGCUAACUACGUG